rnacentral:pre_miRNA from 7 species
CUUCAGGGUUCCUGGGUGUCACGCAGAUCUCGGUGGGACCUCCAAAUGAAAGAACUCAGUGGGGAAACCCCCACUCAGCUCCCGAUUCGGCGUGCACCCAAGAAUCACGAAUAGAACA